ACUCAUGGCGGACGGGUGAGUAACGCGUAAAGAACUUGCCCUUUAGACUGGGAUAACAGAGGGAAACUUCUGAUAAUACUGGAUAAGUUAGUAUAUCGCAUGAUAUGCAAAUGAAAGCUACGGCACUAAAGGAGAGCUUUGCGUCCUAUUAGCUAGUUGGUAAGGUAAGAGCUUACCAAGGCGAUGAUAGGUAGCCGGCCUGAGAGGGUGGACGGCCACAAGGGGACUGAGAUACGGCCCUUACUCCUACGGGAGGCAGCAGUGGGGAAUAUUGGACAAUGGAGGGAACUCUGAUCCAGCAAUUCUGUGUGUGUGAAGAAGGUUUUAGGACUGUAAAACACUUUUAGUAGGGAAGAAAAAAAUGACGGUACCUACAGAAGAAGCAACGGCUAAAUACGUGCCAGCAGCCGCGGUAAUACGUAUGUUGCGAGCGUUAUCCGGAAUUAUUGGGCUUAAAGGGCAUCUAGGCGGUAAGACAAGUUGAAGGUGAAAACCUGUGGCUCAACCAUAGGCUUGCCUACAAAACUGUUGAACUAGAGUACUGGAAAGGUGGGUGGAACUACACGAGUAGAGGUGAAAUUCGUAGAUAUGUGUAGGAAUGCCGAUGAUGAAGAUAACUCACUGGACAGAAACUGACGCUGAAGUGCGAAAGCUAGGGGAGCAA
rnacentral:rRNA from 1 species